rnacentral:rRNA from 1 species
UACGGAGGGAGCUAGCGUUGUUCGGAAUUACUGGGCGUAAAGCGCACGUAGGCGGCUUUGUAAGUUAGAGGUGAAAGCCUGGAGCUCAACUCCAGAACUGCCUUUAAAACUGCAUCGCUUGAAUCCAGGAGAGGUGAGUGGAAUUCCGAGUGUAGAGGUGAAAUUCGUAGAUAUUCGGAAGAACACCAGUGGCGAAGGCGGCUCACUGGACUGGUAUUGACGCUGAUGUGCGAAAGCGUGGGGAGCAAACAGG